CUCCAGGGAGACUGCCGGUGACAAACCGGAGGAAGGUGGGGACGACGUCAAGUCAUCAUGGCCCUUAUGGGAUGGGCUACACACGUGCUACAAUGGCCAGUACAGAGGGUUGCAAACUCGCGAGAGUAAGCUAAUCCCAGAAAGCUGGUCGUAGUCCGGAUUGGAGUCUGCAACUCGACUCCAUGAAGUUGGAAUCGCUAGUAAUCGUGGAUCAGAAUGCCACGGUGAAUACGUUCCCGGGCCUU
rnacentral:rRNA from 1 species